ensembl:lncRNA
GGAGUGGCCCACGUGUGGCCAAAGGCGGCUGUGUUGGGAGCGGCCUGGAAGAUGCCCUCGUGUGGAGGAAGGAGGAGGGUUGGGGGGCUGAGGGCCCCUUUUCUGGGGCUGGCUUCCCCGGGCCAUUUGGCUUGCCAGNCACACAAGCUGGCUGUCAGAGGGCCUCGAAGCUCAGCUAGUGGUGGGCCAGCUGCAGGGGUCCUGUUUUAUAGGGCCCGGAGCAAAGGUGGGGCAGUGGUGGCCACUGUGACCUCAGCAAGCCUCUGUGAUGGAGUGGCCCACGCGUGGCCAAAGGCGGCUGUGUUGGGAGCGGCCUGGAAGAUGCCCUCCUGUGGAGGAAGGAGGAGGGUUGGGGGGCUGAGGGCCCCUUUUCUGGGGCUGGCUUCCCCGGGCCAUUUGGCUUGCCAGAGAGAAAGGCUGCCCCAUGCGAUCCUGCCUCAGCCCGUUUUUCUCCAGAUCUCCAAGGCUGGACAUCUAAGUGGGACUGAACUCAUCCUGGAGAGUAGCCCGACCUUGAUCAGACAAGAAACAAGCCACUGGGGCUUUCCUCAGCCUUGGGGACCAGGAGCCAGACUUUUUGCCUGAUUCCCAGGCAUCACUACGGUUUUCUAUAAAGAGGUCAUCCACCUGUCCUGCCACAGCUCCCAGGCAGCGCCAAACAUUUUCCCAAGCUGAUACCUGCUGAUACCAGUGCUGUCAUCAGUGGGUGUGGAGGAAUGAAGAAAUCCAUGGGCUAGGGCUUCUGGGCAAAGGUGUUGGCCCACCUCCUUCAUAACAGGCUUCACCAAACAGAAAUUAGUUCUGGUUUAAUCAGAAAACAGGGAUCGACACUUCGGUCAUCGUAAAGCUUUUGCAGACUUCAGGGAGAUUCUUGAAAUAUUCAUGCCCCAUUCACAUCAGACAAAGAUCUUGCAUCUCCCCUCCUAGCACCAGUUCCCUGCAUUGGCUAGAAAAGCUUGGAGGACAAGUGCAGGCAGCAGCUGUAGCAGAAACAGCGCUGAAAAUAAGGAUAUAAAUGAGUGACCUGCAGAUAGCAGGACCUUUAUUUUGCCACUAGAAAUACUGUCAUUCAAGUGACCCUAUCGAUAGCACGUAUGUUCUGGAAAGUCUUCCCAGCACAGGCAGAGCUGGUAGACUUGGAGCUUAAAGGCCACAGGAACCAGUCUGAUUAUUGCAUGCAACCCUACAUUGUUACACCAAGAAAUGCACCCCAGGCUUCCUGCAUCAAACAUUCACAUCUCAUGACUGAGAUAGAGCUCUUCUUCUCAAAAGGCACCCAAAUCUUGAUUAAAGUGGUUAAUUAACUUCAUUGUAAAAGGGAGUGCUCUCCUCUUUGACUGAUUUCAUCCUAACUGCUAAUUUUAAGCUACGAAUGCUACUGGACUGUCUACUUGAACAAAGAGGGGCUUCCCAGGAAAGAUGCCUUUCAACUAGGAUAUAGCAUUUUUUCAAAGCAAAGAUGAAUUUCCCCUCUCUCUCUCAAUAGGGAGAAAUGAGGUUCUGACUACUGUAGUGUCACUCACUGAAAUGACAGGUUAAGGAUAAGUGUGUAUGAUUGCAGACUGCAAGAUGGUAAAGUAUAUGC